AGCUCCAAUAGCGUAUAUUAAAGUUGUUGCAGUUAAAAAGCUCGUAGUUGAACCUUGGGCUUGGUUGGCCGGUCCGCCUUUUUGGCGAGUACUGGACCCAACCGAGCCUUUCCUUCUGGCUAACCUUUCGCCCUUGUGGUGUUUGGCGAACCAGGACUUUUACUUUGAAAAAAUUAGAGUGUUCAAAGCAGGCCUUUGCUCGAAUAUAUUAGCAUGGAAUAAUAGAAUAGGACGUUACGGUUCUAUUUUGUUGGUUUCUAGGACCAUCGUAAUGAUUAAUAGGGACGGUCGGGGGCAUCAGUAUUCAGUUGUCAGAGGUGAAAUUCUUGGAUUACCUGAAGACUAACUACUGCGAAAGCAUUUGCCAAGGACGUUUUCAUUA
rnacentral:rRNA from 1 species